GAUGCCUUGCAAACAGCUUACACUCUGAAGACUUAAAAGCUUUGCUCUUUUUGUAGAUCAGAGAUAGUGACAACAGUAAAAUAUCAGCUUUUUAGAGUUGGUUGGAACUGCUCUAAGGAAAAGGUAUGAAAAGAAGAUGCUAAUGCUAUUUUGUGCUAGGUUGGUAGUGUAUCUGUAACUGUGGCAUUACACUGAUGUACAAGGAUCUGGCACCAGCACAUCAGCGCAAAAAGGGAGAACUCAGAAUCUGUUAGAAUGACUAAGAAUGAGUUAUUGUGGGAGUCACAGUAACUUGGUAGUCAACAUGAAACAAUAUUGAUGGAUAACCACUUGGGGGCAGCAAUUGUUCAACUAUCAUCAUAUCUGAUAUAUCUGUUUAUCUACCUGUCUUCUAUAUAACUUUUUAAAAAUUUCAGACCCUUAUGACAUGAUGGGAAUGAAGCAACAAUUUUGAUUCAUGCUCAUCUUAUUCUGUGUAUGCCAUGUGUACACUCUCUACAUGAUACAAAACUGUUUCUUAGGGGAGUCUAAUAUAUACCACCUGAUGUGGACUAAGUUCUUAUUCAGUUCACUGAACAUGGCUCAGAAAGCUUCUAUAAUGAAGUGGUAGCAGUUCCAUUAAAGUAAAUAUACCAUAUUUUUCUGUAAAGAUAUUGUUGCUUGUCUGUCACUUCCACCCAUUUCUCUCUGUCCAAGGAUUCUGUCACCAUCACUAUCCAACUUGUUUUUAUUUUAAUCAUGUCCAACCAUGCCUUCUCUAGAGUUCAUUGUUCCAACAUAAAUGUUUUGUCCUUACUACUCCAGCUCUUCAUGGUCUCU